UACGUAGGGCGCAAGCGUUAUCCGGAAUUAUUGGGCGUAAAGAGCUCGUAGGCGGUUUGUCGCGUCUGCCGUGAAAGUCCGGGGCUCAACUCCGGAUCUGCGGUGGGUACGGGCAGACUAGAGUGAUGUAGGGGAGACUGGAAUUCCUGGUGUAGCGGUGAAAUGCGCAGAUAUCAGGAGGAACACCGAUGGCGAAGGCAGGUCUCUGGGCAUUAACUGACGCUGAGGAGCGAAAGCAUGGGGAGCGAAC
rnacentral:rRNA from 2 species